UUAGACAGUGGAUAUGAGAAGAAAGAGGACCCUAUUGAGGCUUGCAAGAGGUCUGACGAGUCUUCUCCUACAAGUGAGGCUCCAAAAUCUGAGGAUGGAACUUUCAUCUCUUGAUAAGCGAGAGCAAAGGAAUCUCCAUCUCUGAGGGCACUUCCUUGCAGCCUGUGGUACCAAGCAGGUCAACAAGAAGAACCUCUCGCAGGUCCAAGGCAACUUCAAUACAAUCAGAAAUUUUUAGGAGAUCACCAAGAAUAGCAAACCUAUCAUUGAGGGGUCAAGCAUCCUAGGGUACUUUUGAAGCUUCAAGAAAUUAGAAAAGAAAAUACGAAGGUAAAUGUAAAGCAGUGGUUGAGGGCGAGUCCAAUGGGGCUAAAGCCCAGGGUUAGAGUUGUACAGAGACCUUCCAAACUAGAUAGUCCAUGCUAGUGUUUGUGAUGAGGGCAUGUGUGAGAAAAUUUUAUGUUGUAAAAUUUGUUAAUGCCUUUGUAUUUCAUUUUAUGUAGACUAUGGUCCAAGAUGUUGUAAACCUUUAUGUUAGCUUCCGCUGAAUUUGUCUAAGGAUAGUACUAUGGUGUUGUAUGUUAUUGUUCUAUAUCACACUUGUGAUGACCUCUUUUCGGAUAUCCUAUGCUAGCGAGACUAUCCAGGAGUGGGCCACUACAUAUUUAGUCGUUUGUUGUCAUGCUCGAGAU